GAUGAAGAACGCAGCGAAAUGCGAUAAGUAAUGUGAAUUGCAGAAUUCAGUGAAUCAUCGAAUCUUUGAACGCACAUUGCGCCCCCCAGUAUUCUGGCGGGCAUGCCUGUUCGAGCGUCAUUUCAACCAUCAAGCCCUGCUUGUGUUGGGGUCCUGCGGCUGCCCGCAGGCCCUGAAAACCAGUGGCGGGCUCGCUAGUCACACCGAGCGCAGUAGCACAUCUCGCUCAGGGCGUGCGGCGGGCUCCAGCCGUUAAAGCGCCCACCUUUCGCAAGGUUGACCUCGGAUCAGGUAGGAAUACCCGCUGAACUUAAGCAUAUCAAUAAGCGGAGGA
rnacentral:misc_RNA from 1 species